CAGUCGCCGCGGUAAUACAAAGGGUGCAAGCGUUAAUCGGAAUUACUGGGCGUAAAGCGUGCGUAGGCGGUUUGAUAAGUCUUGUGUGAAAUCUCUGGGCUCAACCCAGAGUCUGCACAGGAAACUGUCGGGCUUGAGAGUGGGAGAGGUGAGUGGAAUUUCCGGUGUAGCGGUGAAAUGCGUAGAUAUCGGAAGGAACACCUGUGGCGAAAGCGGCUCACUGGACCAUUUCUGACGCUGAUGCACGAAAGCUAGGGGAGCAAACAGGAUUAGAUACCCGCGUAGUCCCUGUCUCUUAUAC
rnacentral:rRNA from 1 species